CGUAGGAGGCGAGCGUUAUCCGGAUUCACUGGGCGUAAAGCGCGUGCAGGUGGCUUGGUAAGUUAGGCGUGAAAUCUCCCGGCUCAACUGGGAGAGGUCGUCUAAUACUACCGGGCUUGAGAGCAGAAGAGGAAGAUGGAAUUCCCGGUGUAGUGGUGAAAUGCGUAGAUAUCGGGAGGAACACCAGUGGCGAAGGCGAUCUUCUGGUCUGUUUCUGACACUCAGACGCGACAGCUAGGGUAGUAAACGGGAUUAGAGACCCCGGUAAUCCUAGCCGUAAACGAUGUAAACUUGGCGUUGGUGGGUUAAACUCCAUCAGUGCCGCAGCAAACGCGAUAAGUUUACCGCCUGGGGACUACGGCCGCAAGGUUA
rnacentral:rRNA from 1 species